AUUGAACGCUGGCGGCAGGCUUCACACAUGCAAGUCGAACGAGUGGCGGACGGGUGAGUAAUGCUUGGGAAUCUAGCUUAUGGAGGGGGAUAACUACGGGAAACUGUAGCUAAUACCGCGUACCAUAGGAUGAGCCCAAGUGGGAUUAGGUAGUUGGUGAGGUAAAGGCGCACCAAGCCGACGAUCUCUAGCUGGUCUGAGAGGUUGACCAGCAACACUGGGACUGAGACACGGACCCUAGUCCUGCGGUGGGAAGCAGUGGCGAAUAUUGCGCAAGGGGGGCAGCCUAACGCAGCCGUGCCGAGUGAAUAAAGAAGGCGUUCGGGUUGUAGAGUUCUUUCGGUAUCGAGGCGUUAACUACAGAAGAAGGACAGGCUAGCUCCGUGGCAGCAGCCGCGGUAAUAC
rnacentral:rRNA from 1 species